rnacentral:rRNA from 1 species
UACAGAGACUGCAAGCGUUAUUCGGAUUCACUGGGCGUAAAGGGUGCGCAGGCGGCCGGGUGUGUCAGAUGUGAAAUCCCGAGGCUCAACCUCGGAACUGCGUCUGAAACUACUCGGCUAGAGUACUGGAGAGGGUAACGGAAUUCACGGUGUAGCAGUGAAAUGCGUAGAUAUCGUGAGGAACACCAGAGGCGAAGGCGGUUACCUGGACAGUUACUGACGCUCAGGCACGAAAGCAUGGGGAGCAAAAGG